rnacentral:rRNA from 1 species
UUAAGCGACUAAGCGUACACGGUGGAUGCCCUGGCAGUCAGAGGCGAUGAAGGGCGUGCUAAUCUGCGAUAAGCGCCGGUAAGGUGAUAUGAACCGUUAUAACCGGCGAUACCCGAAUGGGGAAACCCAGUGUGACUCGUCACACUAUCAUUAACUGAAUCCAUAGGUUAAUGAGGCGAACCGGGGGAACUGAAACAUCUAAGUACCCCGAGGAAAAGAAAUCAACCGAGAUUCCCCCAGUAGCGGCGAGCGAACGGGGAGGAGCCCAGAGCCUGAAUCAGCAUGUGUGUUAGUGGAAGCGUCUGGAAAGGCGCGCGAUACAGGGUGACAGCCCCGUACACAAAAGCGCAUGUGCUGUGAGCUCGAUGAGUAGGGCGGGACACGUGGUAUCCUGUCUGAAUAUGGGGGGACCAUCCUCCAAGGCUAAAUACUCCUGACUGACCGAUAGUGAACCAGUACCGUGAGGGAAAGGCGAAAAGAACCCCGGCGAGGGGAGUGAAAAAGAACCUGAAACCGUGUACGUACAAGCAGUGGGAGCACAGGUUUACCUGUGUGACUGCGUACCUUUUGUAUAAUGGGUCAGCGACUUAUAUUCUGUAGCAAGGUUAACCGAAUAGGGGAGCCGUAGGGAAACCGAGUCUUAACCGGGCGUUAAGUUGCAGGGUAUAGACCCGAAACCCGGUGAUCUAGCCAUGGGCAGGUUGAAGGUUGGGUAACACUAACUGGAGGACCGAACCGACUAAUGUUGAAAAAUUAGCGGAUGACCUGUGGCUGGGGGUGAAAGGCCAAUCAAACCGGGAGAUAGCUGGUUCUCCCCGAAAGCUAUUUAGGUAGCGCCUCGUGAAUUCAUCUCCGGGGGUAGAGCACUGUUUCGGCUAGGGGGGCCAUCCCGGCUUACCAACCCGAUGCAAACUGCGAAUACCGGAGAAUGUUAUCACGGGAGACACACGGCGGGUGCUAACGUCCGUCGUGAAGAGGGAAACAACCCAGACCGCCAGCUAAGGUCCCAAAGUCAUGGUUAAGUGGGAAACGAUGUGGGAAGGCCCAGACAGCCAGGAUGUUGGCUUAGAAGCAGCCAUCAUUUAAAGAAAGCGUAAUAGCUCACUGGUCGAGUCGGCCUGCGCGGAAGAUGUAACGGGGCUAAACCAUGCACCGAAGCUGCGGCAGCGACACUGUGUGUUGUUGGGUAGGGGAGCGUUCUGUAAGCCUGUGAAGGUGGCCUGUGAGGGUUGCUGGAGGUAUCAGAAGUGCGAAUGCUGACAUAAGUAACGAUAAAGCGGGUGAAAAGCCCGCUCGCCGGAAGACCAAGGGUUCCUGUCCAACGUUAAUCGGGGCAGGGUGAGUCGACCCCUAAGGCGAGGCCGAAAGGCGUAGUCGAUGGGAAACGGGUUAAUAUUCCCGUACUUGGUGUUACUGCGAAGGGGGGACGGAGAAGGCUAUGUUGGCCGGGCGACGGUUGUCCCGGUUUAAGCGUGUAGGUGUGUGUUCCAGGUAAAUCCGGUUCACUUUAACACUGAGGCGUGACGACGAGGCACUACGGUGCUGAAGCAACAAAUGCCCUGCUUCCAGGAAAAGCCUCUAAGCAUCAGGUAACAUCAAAUCGUACCCCAAACCGACACAGGUGGUCAGGUAGAGAAUACCAAGGCGCUUGAGAGAACUCGGGUGAAGGAACUAGGCAAAAUGGUGCCGUAACUUCGGGAGAAGGCACGCUGACACGUAGGUGAAGUGAUUUACUCAUGGAGCUGAAGUCAGUCGAAGAUACCAGCUGGCUGCAACUGUUUAUUAAAAACACAGCACUGUGCAAACACGAAAGUGGACGUAUACGGUGUGACGCCUGCCCGGUGCCGGAAGGUUAAUUGAUGGGGUCAGCGCAAGCGAAGCUCCUGAUCGAAGCCCCGGUAAACGGCGGCCGUAACUAUAACGGUCCUAAGGUAGCGAAAUUCCUUGUCGGGUAAGUUCCGACCUGCACGAAUGGCGUAAUGAUGGCCAGGCUGUCUCCACCCGAGACUCAGUGAAAUUGAACUCGCUGUGAAGAUGCAGUGUACCCGCGGCAAGACGGAAAGACCCCGUGAACCUUUACUAUAGCUUGACACUGAACAUUGAGCCUUGAUGUGUAGGAUAGGUGGGAGGCUUUGAAGUGUGGACGCCAGUCUGCAUGGAGCCGGCCUUGAAAUACCACCCUUUAAUGUUUGAUGUUCUAACGUGGACCCGUAAUCCGGGUUGCGGACAGUGUCUGGUGGGUAGUUUGACUGGGGGCGGUCUCCUCCUAAAGAGUAACGGAGGAGCACGAAGGUUGGCUAAUCCUGGUCGGACAUCAGGAGGUUAGUGCAAUGGCAUAAGCCAGCUUGACUGCGAGCGUGACGGCGCGAGCAGGUGCGAAAGCAGGUCAUAGUGAUCCGGUGGUUCUGAAUGGAAGGGCCAUCGCUCAACGGAUAAAAGGUACUCCGGGGAUAACAGGCUGAUACCGCCCAAGAGUUCAUAUCGACGGCGGUGUUUGGCACCUCGAUGUCGGCUCAUCACAUCCUGGGGCUGAAGUAGGUCCCAAGGGUAUGGCUGUUCGCCAUUUAAAGUGGUACGCGAGCUGGGUUUAGAACGUCGUGAGACAGUUCGGUCCCUAUCUGCCGUGGGCGCUGGAGAACUGAGGGGGGCUGCUCCUAGUACGAGAGGACCGGAGUGGACGCAUCACUGGUGUUCGGGUUGUCAUGCCAAUGGCACUGCCCGGUAGCUAAAUGCGGAAGAGAUAAGUGCUGAAAGCAUCUAAGCACGAAACUUGCCCCGAGAUGAGUUCUCCCUGAGACUUAGAGUCUCCUGAAGGAACGUUGAAGACGACGACGUUGAUAGGCCGGGUGUGUAAGCGCAGCGAUGCGUUGAGCUAACCGGUACUAAUGAACCGUGAGGCUUAACCUU